rnacentral:lncRNA from 1 species
GCAGCCGCCUGGCGUGCGGAGAGCGGCCUGUCGCGCGCUGGGCGCGGGGACUCAGGGUCCCAGCAGUGGGUCGCGCACCUGAGCUAUCUCCAUCCUCGGAGACCGACGAGCUCUCAGUGUCCUCGUCCUCGGAGCUGCUCCCCUCAUUUUCGGCGUAGUCCACCUCCAUCUCAUCGUGAUGGUUGGUCUCCUUCUUAUCCCCUCGGGAAUGGACUGGCAUUUUCCAGCCGCGCCGUCGCUUUCCACUACCGGCGCCCAGCCCGGCCACCGCCGCUUCAAUGAAGGGCGCGCGGAACGCCCCAACCCACCCAGCCACCGAGCUUGCUCGCCCCCUUGGCUCCUCCCCGCCCCCGGCCCGGGCCUCACAACCUAACCCGCAGGCUCUGCGAUGGGAGCUCUGCCAUUGGCGGAGGCCUUCCACCGAGCCAGAGGGCGGGGGCUUGCCCUGCUCUGGUACGAUUGGUUGCCCGCAAUUACGACGCGGCCUUCCGAUGCUUGCCGGGAGUUGUAGUUCGUAGGUCUCAGACCUGCAGGGGCUGCACGCUUCCAUCCCUCGGCAGCCCUGAUCACUUCUUCCUUCUGGACUUCAAGUCCCACAAGGCACGAAAGCUGACACUCUGGAUCGCAGUUUAUAAACUAAACAGAAACAGAUUGUGCGAAUUUAGUCUGUAUUUAUCUAUUUCCCGCCAAGUGAUUGUUUGACCUGCCUGACCAUCAGAGAUGUUACUGUUAGAUGUGAAAAUGUCUUUUGCCUAAAAGGAUCUUUGCCUGCUCAUUGAGCCUGGGGAACUGGAGAACCAUCUGUUUUACUAAGCACCUUUAUUACCUACCAUUAAUAAACUGUUUUAUUUAAUUAUUAACUAUAGACGAUAACUUGCACUUUCUGUGUUGUGCAAAAAUCUUUAAAUUAUUCUUGAAACUUUUACAAUACAGAAGGUAAGGAAGUUUUAUCUUGGCAUUUUCAAUCUAAUAUUUUUGGCAUUUAUUUUUUACCAAAUGCAGUCGGAAAAUGCCAUCAGUCCUGAUUUAACUUUAGUUUUCAAUGAAAAAUACAUACUUAACCAGAUGUACUUUCUCAAAAAAAGGGUACAUAGCUCCCUCUCCCUCUCCCUCGCCCUCGCCCUCGCCCUCGCCCUCUCCACGGUCUCCCUCUCCCUCUCUUUCCACGGUCUCCCACUGAUGCCGAGCCGAAGCUGGACUGUACUGCUGCCAUCUCGGCUCACUGCAACCUCCCUGCCUGAUUCUCCUGCCUCAGCCUGCCGAGUGCCUGCGAUUGCAGGCGCGUGCCGCCACGCCUGACUGGUUUUCGUAUUUUUUUGGUGGAGACGGUUUCGCUGUGUUGGCCGGGCUGGUCUCCAGCUCCUAACCGCGAAUGAUCCGCCAGCCCCGACCUCCCGAGGUGCCGGGAUUGCAGACGGAGUCUCGUUCACUCAGUGCUCAAUGGUGCCCAGGCUGGAGUGCAGUGGCGUGAUCUCGGCUCGCUACAACCACCUCCCAGCCGCCUGCCUUGGCCUCCCAAAGAGCCGAGAUUGCAGCCUCUGCCCGGCCGCCACCCCGUCUGGGAAGUGAGGAGCGUCUCUGCCUGGCCGCCCAUCGUCUGGGAUGUGAGGAGCCCCUCUACCUGGCUGCCCAGUCUGGAAAGUGAGGAGCGUCUCUGCCCGGCCGCCAUCCCAUCUAGGAAGUGAGGAGCGUCUCUGCCUGGCAGCCCAUCGUCUGGGAUGUGGGGAGCACCUCUGCCCCGCCGCCCCGUCUGGGAUGUGAGGAGCGCCUCUGCCCAGCCGCGACCCCGUCUGGGAGGUGAGGAGCGUCUCUGCCCGGCCACCCCGUCUGAGAAGUGAGGAGACCCUCUGCCCGGCAACCGCCCCGUCUGAGAAGUGAGGAGCCCCUCCGCCCGGCAGCCGCCCCGUCUGAGAAGAACAUCUGGUGGAACCCCAUGAUGGCGGUCUUCAUCCGCCUUAAGCUGGCCCACAACCAUGCUGAUGAUGCAGCUAUGCGGCGUGAGCUGAUGGUCCUGCGCGGUGAUGCUGUGCUGGAUUUUCUGGAACCGAAGGCUAGACAACUUCUCCACAAUGGCAGCUUUCCCCUGGAACUGUUGUCCUUCCCACGUAAGGCAUGAUGCGUCAAUGUAAAUUGCGCCUAGUUGGGGUCUAUCGUUAUCAAAUAACUGGUAGUAAUGUGGAAUGAAGCUGGAUCCUAUCUGCUCCCAAAUUGGCUUGUCUCCCACUCUGGACCGUCAGCCGGCCUCGCGGAGACCCGAGGGGCUGGCACGAUGGCUGCAGCGGCGGCGGCAACCCAGCACGGUCUCAAAAUGCUCAUAUUUUUAAGUGGUCUCAUGCAUUACGUAUGCUACAACUUGACUUUCUCCUUAGUGACGUUUUUGAGAUUUACCCAUUGUGAUUCAGGUAGCUCUCAUCCAGUUAUUUUUACCUGCCAUAACAUGUUCCAUUUAGUAAAUAUAUUCUAUUGAAUGAAUAUUACAGUUUACCCAUUUACCUAUUAAUGGACAGGGAGGCUGCUCCCAAUUUUUUCACUAUUAAAAACAUUUGUCUCAGACCCAGCACAGUGGCUUACGCCUGUAGUGCCAGCACUUUGGCAGGCUGAGGCAGGCGGAUCGCUUGAGAUUGGGAGUUGGAGACCAGCCUGGGCAACAUGGCGAAACCCCGUCUCAACAAAAAAUACAAAAAUUAGCUGGGCGUGGUGGUGCGUGCCUGUAGUCCCAACUACUUGGGAGGUUGAGGUAGGAGGAUGGCUUGAGCCUGGGAGGUCCAGGCUUCAGUGAGCUGUGAUUGUGCCACUUCACUCCAGCCUGGGUGACAGACAGAGUAAGCCCCUGUCUUUAAAAAAAAAAAAAAAAAAGUUGCCUCCGUGAACAUUGCAUUUGUUUGUUUGUUUGUUUGUUUGUUUGCUUUUUUUUGGACAGAGUUUUCCUCUUGUUGCCCAGGCUAGAGUGCAAUGGCACCAUCUUGGCUCACUGCAACCUCCGACUCCCAGGUUUAAGCAAUUCUCCUGCCUCCGCCUCCGGAGUGGCUGGGAUUACAGGCGCCCCCCACCAUGCCCGGCUAAUUUUGUGGUUUUAGUAGAAAUAGGGUUUCACCAUGUUGGUCAGGCUGGUCUCGAACUCCUGAUCUCAGGUGAUCCGCCCACCUCAGCCUCCCAAAGUGCUGGGAUUACAGGGGUGAGCCACCGUGCCCAGCAUGAACAUUGUUGUAUGCACCUUUUCUUCAGGCAUAUGUGUGAGAAUUUCUCUAGGUCAGUGUCUCCAAAGUGGGAGGAGUGUAUUCGAGAACUGUAUCCUGGGGGGCAGGAAGGAAAUAUUAAAAUAUAAAUUUAUAAAAUUUUUAAUUUCAUCUUUGUUUGGAAUAAAGUAGGUAUAAGGAAGCAGUUAGAAUUCCAGGUUUUACUCUGAUUUACCCUCAUUAUAUUCCUUGUGUUUGUUUUUAAUCAGCAGAUCCAGCUUCUGAAAUAAAGCAAAUUUAAUUCCAGGCUCCACCACAUGGUGGGGCAGAGACAUCAGCUAUACAAUCCGUAAACUUUGUCUACUGAUUGACUCAGGCCAAAUGCUAGGAGUUGGAAAAACAAAGAUAGGACACCAGAGCUGCUACUAAUAGCUAGUAUCGAAUCAGGAUAAAUAUUCUCAUCAUUCGAACUAAAGGGGCUUUAGGACCUACACUGAGAACUAGAUGAGACCAACUUAUAAUUAUUCCAACUACGUGAAAAUGUGAUUCCAAUUGCUUAAGAAUGAAACAAUCCCCCAGGCUCAGUGGCUCACGCCUGUAAAACCAGUACUUUGGGAGGCUGAGGGGGGCAGAUCACUUGAGCCAAGGAGUUUAAGACCGGCCUGGUCAACAUGGUGAAAUGCCGUCUCUACUAAAAAUACAAAAAGUAGCUGAGCGUGGUGGCGCAUGCCUGUGGUCCCAGCUACUUGGGAGGUGGAGGCAUGAGAAUUGCUUGAACCUUAGAGGCAGAGGUUGUAGUGAGCCAAGAUCACACCACCACACUCCAGCCUGGGUGACAGAGCAAGGCUCUGUCUCAAAAAUUUGUAAGCUGAACCAAUUGAAAUGUUUAUGGUGUUGGCUAUUGUUUGUGCUGUUAAUCAUCAGUCCUCUUCAAUCAGGGCAUGACCAAGAUUAACUUUUUCCUCCCAAAUUGAUGUGGAUGGUCUAGCUGUGGGCUUCAUCUUCAACAUCAUCUUGUCCCUUCUUAAAAUAAGUUAUCUAUUUGUAAACUGCUGAUUCAUUUGGAGCAUCAUCCCCAUAAACUUCUUGUAAAGCAUCAGUGAUUUCACUAUCCUUCCAUCCAAGCUUCAUCAUAAAUUUGGUGUUUGUUCUUGCUUCAACUUAAGCAGAAUUCACAUUGCUCUGAUAGGGGCUCUUUACAAACUGAUGUUUUAUUCUUCUCAGUGCCUCAAAUUGGAUUCUGUCCAGACAUGUUAUAACAAGUUAAUAUAAGCUUAUUUUGUUGAAAAAAAAUUGACAUCUAUAGUUUUGGAAUUUUUGUUUUGUUUUGUUUGUUGAGACAAGUUCUCCCUCUGUCGCCUAGGUUGGAGUGCAGUGGUGUGAUCACAGCUCACUGCAACCUCUGCCUUCCGAGCUCAAGCAAUCUUCCCGCCUCAGCCUCCUGAGUAGCUGGGACUACCGGCACGUGCCACCAUGCCUGGCUAAUUUUUGUAUUAGCCAUGGGCAACAUGUCUCACCCUGUUGCCCAGGCUGGUCUUGACUCCUGGGCUCAAGCCAUCCACCUGCCUCGGCCUCCCAAAGUGUUGGGACUAUAGGUGUGAGCCACUGCACUCAGCCAGUUUUUUUUGUUUGUUUAUAAUACACAUUUUUCAUGAACUUUUUGAAGACCCCCUCAUAUCUCUCUCUUAAUUCUUGGAAGGUAAGAUAACAACCUAGUUUAGGUUUGGUGAGGUGAAACUUUAUCACAGGUGACUCCAUUUUGACUUUCAGUCUGAUCUGUGGGGGCCUAGUGCAGGAACUUAGUCCAAAACAACAGCCUCCUAUAAUUUGUAUUUAACCUGAAGUACUGUUCUGGAUUCAAUAGAUUCAUUGGUGAAUAAAUGAGACACAGCUUAUGACUUCAUAGAACUUAGGGAAAAGUAGAGAGAUAAAUAUUAAGCAGCUUGACAAACUGAGGUAUGCUCUCUGAUGGUGUUAGGAGAGUAUAAUACAGAGACCCAAUUGAGAUUGGGAGUGGACGGCAGGUAAGACCUCUCUAAAGUAGUAAUAUUUCAGCUAAGACCUGAGAGAUGAGUAGGAGUUAGCCCAGAUCGGAAUGAGAGGAGGGACAUUAUAAGCUGAGAGAAUAGUGUAUGUUAAGGUCCUGAACUAGAAAAAAACUUGGCAUAUUCAUGUUUGAGGAAUAAAGAGACCACUGUGGAUGGUUACUAAUGUUCAAGAAUGAAAGAGACACAAGGUGUGUUUGGUGAGGUAAGCAAAGGCUUGAUAAAUUAUGGUAAGGAAAUUAGAUUUUUUAAAAUCCUAAAUACAGUGGCUAUUACUGGGAAGUUGGUAAGAGGAGAAGAGAAGAUGAGAUUAGUGAUAAAAUUACAUUGAUUUGAGAUUAGCUCUUAUAAAAAGAUCACUGGUUGCUUAGUAGAAAAUGAUACUUUAUCUCAAUAUCAAUCAGAUACUGUGUUAAAAUAUUCUGACAGUUUAGACAGGUAGAGGCUGUGUGGGGGAAACAAAAUAGACAAAUUUGAGAUAUUUGGGAGGUAAGACUGACAAAACUUGAUAGUAAAUUAAAUUUGGGGCAUGAGAGAGAAGAUUAAAAUAUAGUUUACUUGUCUCCAUAUUUGAGUCAUUUCCUUAUGCUACUAAAUAAUAUCAGCAGUCAUUGCUUCAACAAAUCUCCUUAACAUAUUUUGCUUGAGUUCUAUGCUCACUGUGUAUGAUUUUCAGCUCUCUGUUCAUAAUAAAUCAUAUUUCAUUUAAUGCUUCUUCACUUGUCUGUGAAUGUUACUUGCUUUCUUUAAAAAUUAAAUGUCAAAAGAUAACUGAAC